UGGUGGAGCGGUUUGUCUGGUUAAUUCCGAUAACGAACGAGACUCUGGCCUAUUAAAUAGUUCGCCGAUUCCGAUCUGUCGGCGUUAACUUCUUAGAGGGACAAGUGGCUUUUAGCCACGCGAGAUUGAGCAAUAACA
rnacentral:rRNA from 1 species